rnacentral:lncRNA from 1 species
UUGGAUACCAACAAGAGAAUAACUUUAAUACCUUCUCUACUGGCAGGCUCCACCAGUUGGAUGAUGAUGCUUCUCUCUCCCACAUCUGUCAAGCCCUCCUAAUUACUUCUGCAGGUGGCCACGAUGGAAGGGCCUCUUUCCAUCACAGGUGCCAUUAUGAGCCUUAUGCCCAGGACAGAAAUGUGACCUCAGUGACUUCUGCCUUUCCUUUCUCCUGAUACCUUACCUGCCUUCCUUCUGCUCCCCAGCUGCUGUGCCUCGUUCUUCCUCACCUUCCUUCUAUGC